rnacentral:rRNA from 1 species
AUGGUCUCCUUCUGGGCGAAGCAUGCCGCUAGGCGUUCGGCACGCACGCGGCGAGCGUCAGCCAUGGAGUCGAUGAAGCGGAAGUCGAAGCAGAGCGGAAGAACAACGGCGUCCCUGUCACGGCCCCCUCUACCUCAUCCCCACCAGAAGGCACCACCGGAGAGGCCGGCCCACUUAGGCCCAGGCGGGAGAGGAAGCCCAGUGCCAGGCUAUUGGCACUUCCCCUUCCCCAAUUUUUCUCCGCUCCCGAUCCCCUUUGCUGUUCCUCCUCCCCAACCUCCAAUUCUCCCUGGAUUUGUAUCAGUUACCUAUGAGACGAGUAAAUUAGAUCGAAAACAACAAGCCACCGAGAUGGAGCAGCAACUCGCCGAUCUCGCGGAUGCGAUGGCGAAGAUCCAGGAACAGACGGCCGCGAUCCAGCAGGCAGUCGCGGCGUCCAGCACCCUCGUCGCAGAGAUCAAGCCGGCGGUGCUGGAUCUCGCGGCAUGGCGGCCCGUGAUGGAGAAAUCGGUGGAGGAGCUGCAAACCGAUCUGGGCGGCCUUCGCAACCAGAUCGCGCAGGUCGCGCGCAACCCCGUGCUCUCCAUUAAGCCGGUGGAUCUUCCCCCGCUGAUUCCGCGCGUCCCCGAGGCGGAUCGGGCUCCCAACGGUGACAACAGUCACGGGCGAAGCGGCCACCACGACGACACAACAACACGGAGGUUGGGUACCGGAGUGGUCACCACCCUCCUGCCACCUCCGGCCAUGAGUACGUACCACCAGCUUCCUGCACCUCCUGCCCACCUAUCCCCUUGUCAUACAUCUCGAUCCCGCAGUCCGCAACGCCAUUCCUCGCUGCUUCCUCGCCCCAAAAUGGAUUUCCCGCUGUUUGGGGGAGAACGCCCUCGCAGUUGGAAGCGCAACUGUGAGGCUUAUUUUCGGGUUUUUCACAUCGAUCCGUCUCUCUGGAUUGACACAACAUCCAUGCACUUCUCUGGUAGAAGCUCUGGAGAUCCUCAAGCGCCGGGAGCCGCGGCGCGCGGACAUGGGGCACAGCUCGCGCACGCAUUUACGCGGAGCCAUGCCAUUGCCGCCCCCUACAUGACGGCCACCCACUCCGACUACACCACCGGAGGCUCCCCGCGGCGACACGAUGCCACGGGGAACACCCUACACGUGGUACAAGAGCUGUUCGAUGUGCUCGGCCUGACGGACAGCACGCUUGAACCAGCUCCGUCCGAGAUCAACAGUGAAGUGCACACCAUUUCAAGGGCUGCUGUGGAUGGAGAGGCCACACCUCAGACUAUCAGGUUGCAAGGCAAGAUUCAAAACCACCAGGUUCUCAUUCUGGUUGACAGUGGUAGCUCACACAGUUUCGUCAGUUCAGCCCUAGCGGCGCGUCUGCAAGGGGUGGUGCAAGCUGUUCGGCCGCUGUCAGUUAAAAUUGCAGAUGGUGCUACCGCAGCCCAGCCAGACCUGCCAGUGCCACCGGCUCCUCAUACGGCGCCAUCUGUUCCAGAGGCAGUGCUUCAGCGCCGGGUGGUUCAGAGAGGCACAGCUCGACUACCGGAGGUGCUGAUCAAGUGGUCUGGCCAGCCGGCGUCUUUGGCUACCUGGGAGGACUACUUCGAGCUCCGCAGCCGGUUCCCGGGAGCCGCGGCUUGGGGUCAAGCCGGCGCUGAAGGCGGAGGGGAUGUCACGGCCCCCUCUACCUCAUCCCCAUCAGAAGGCACCACCGGAGAGGCCGGCCCGCUUAGGCCCAGGCGGGAGAGGAAGCCCAGUGCCAGGUACGACCCAGCGACCUGGGAGCUGGCACCGCUACAAAAGGGAGCGACCACCAAAUUUAAGGAUAACCGGAUCAGCAAUGCGGGCCGAAAAGCCAAAGAAACACCAUUACUAUCUCUGCAAACCCCAGCUGCAGCUCCUCAAUCAUCAGCCCUAGAAGAACUCCCAUCGACAUGGAUCUUCACCAGACCUGCACUAGGCUCUUUCCAUGCUUACCGUGAGUUUGAAACAGACCCUCCAGAAAAACUUGCCGUAACAGGUCGUCUCUCCAAGUAG